AUCGCUUCUCUGCCUUUUGGCUAAGAUCAAGUGUAGUAUCUGUUCUUAUCCGAUUACAUUAGUGAAUGAGCCAGACUACACUUACAAGACUGAAAAUAGCUUAAUGGUUAAGACUGCUGCCUCUCAAUCUGUAAAAGUGGGUUCUAAUCCAUAACUUUGUAUAGCUAGAUUUUUGUUUCACCUAUC